rnacentral:misc_RNA from 1 species
GGAUCUACGUGCGCAAUUUGAUUAGGAGAUCGUGAUGGCGAAGACCAAAAGCCCGAAACGCGGCAGGCCGCCCAAGGACCUUGCCGGCGACGUUCAGGCGCGGAUUCUCGACGCAGCCCAGCAGCUCUUUCUCGAGAAGGGCUUUCGGAGUGCCAGCAUCGACGAUAUCUCCGAGCUGGCCCCCGCGAGCAAACCAACCAUCUAUGCCCACUUCCCCGGUAAGGAGGCGCUAU